rnacentral:rRNA from 1 species
AUUGAACGCUGGCGGCAGGCCUAACACAUGCAAGUCGAACGGUAACAGGAAGCAGCUUGCUGCUUUGCUGACGAGUGGCGGACGGGUGAGUAAUGUCUGGGAAACUGCCUGAUGGAGGGGGAUAACUACUGGAAACGGUAGCUAAUACCGCAUAACGUCGCAAGACCAAAGAGGGGGACCUUCGGGCCUCUUGCCAUCGGAUGUGCCCAGAUGGGAUUAGCUAGUAGGUGGGGUAACGGCUCACCUAGGCGACGAUCCCUAGCUGGUCUGACAGGAUGAGCAGCCACACUGGAACUGAGACACGGUCCAGAAUCCUACGGGAGGCAGCAGUGGGGAAUAUUGCACAAUGGGCGCAAGCCUGAUGCAGCAAUGCCGCGUGUAUGAAGAAGGCCUUCGGGUUGUAAAGUACUUUCAGCGGGGAGGAAGGGAGUAAAGUUAAUACCUUUGCUCAUUGACGUUACCCGCAGAAGAAGCACCGGCUAACUCCGUG